AAAACUUACUGUAAUUGUGAUAUAAUUAGUUCUUUAUUUUGCAGCUGAUAAUAAAGUGAAGAAGAAGAAAGGAAUAAAAGAUAGUGCACCCAUAGGAGGGAAGAUUGAUGUCAGUAAUGUGGAUGCUAUUUUGAAAAACAUGGAUAUAAAACUUACAGAAGAAGAACAACAAUAUCUACUAGACCACCUGUCAGCUACUGCUGAUGAAGAUAUGGAUAUGAAUACAUUGACAGGGGUUGUGAAGAUGCUUAAAG